CGACGAGUUCUCGUUGAUCUCGGUGCUUGCACCGAGAUUCAACAUGGAACGAGUGGCGGACGGGUGAGUAACACGUGGGUAACCUGCCCUUAAGUGGGGGAUAACAUUUGGAAACAGAUGCUAAUACCGCAUAGAUCCAAGAACCGCAUGGUUCUUGGCUGAAAGAUGGCGUAAGCUAUCGCUUUUGGAUGGACCCGCGGCGUAUUAGCUAGUUGGUGAGGUAAUGGCUCACCAAGGCGAUGAUACGUAGCCGAACUGAGAGGUUGAUCGGCCACAUUGGGACUGAGACACGGCCCAAACUCCUACGGGAGGCAGCAGUAGGGAAUCUUCCACAAUGGACGCAAGUCUGAUGGAGCAACGCCGCGUGAGUGAAGAAGGCUUUCGGGUCGUAAAACUCUGUUGUUGGAGAAGAAUGGUCGGCAGAGUAACUGUUGUCGGCGUGACGGUAUCCAACCAGAAAGCCACGGCUAACUACGUGCCAGCAGCCGCGGUAAUACGUAGGUGGCAAGCGUUAUCCGGAUUUAUUGGGCGUAAAGCGAGCGCAGGCGGUUUUUUAAGUCUGAUGUGAAAGCCCUCGGCUUAACCGAGGAAGCGCAUCGGAAACUGGGAAACUUGAGUGCAGAAGAGGACAGUGGAACUCCAUGUGUAGCGGUGAAAUGCGUAGAUAUAUGGAAGAACACCAGUGGCGAAGGCGGCUGUCUGGUCUGUAACUGACGCUGAGGCUCGAAAGCAUGGGUAGCGAACAGGAUUAGAUACCCUGGUAGUCCAUGCCGUAAACGAUGAAUGCUAGGUGUUGGAGGGUUUCCGCCCUUCAGUGCCGCAGCUAACGCA
rnacentral:rRNA from 1 species